rnacentral:rRNA from 1 species
UACAGAGGUCUCAAGCGUUUGUUCGGAUUCAUUGGGCGUAAAGAGCUCGUAGGCGGUUUGUCGCGUCUGCCGUGAAAGUCCGGGGCUCAACUCCAGAUCUGCGGUGGGUACGGGCAGACUAGAGUGAUGUAGGGGAGACUGGAAUUCCUGGUGUAGCGGUGAAAUGCGCAGAUAUCAGGAGGAACACCGAUGGCGAAGGCAGGUCUCUGGGCCACUACUGACGCUGAGAAGCGAAAGCAUGGGGAGCGAACAGG